rfam:Gossypium raimondii Chr01_contig_883, whole genome shotgun sequence.
AAUCCGUGAUGUGGACAUUUCUGAAUCAGCGUCUUAAAAUGCUCCCAAGCUUCGUGAAAACUCUCUCCCUCUAACUGUUUGAACAUAGCAAUCUCCUUUCUUAGCU